rnacentral:lncRNA from 1 species
GCAGGUGCUUAGGUGGUCUAGGCGGGCGCUUCAGCAGGUCUAUGCGUCAUUUCUUAAUUUUCAAGCGCUUAUGCGUUAAUCGGGGCGGUGACCAGUCGCCUAGCGCCUAGGUUGGGCCUAGCGGUGCUAGGCGGGGAUUUUUAGAACACUGCUUCUGCUAAAUAAGAAUAUGUAUUUGUAGUCCUUAUUCCUGCAAUUGCAAUUAGAUUCAAGCAAAAAAAUUCCAGUACCUGUAGCUUGAGAUUUCUAGGUUUUGCAAUUUGUGGGUUUUAGUUUUAGGAUAAGAUUCAAGUAAACAGGGAGGGGCGAAGGUUUUUAGUUUUGGCGAAAUAGGAGAGUGGGAUAUGAGGAAUUAGUUUUGGUGGAAAAUGAGGAGGAAGAGAGGCAGGCAUCAAUUUUGGUUUUGGCAGAGACCUAACGGAGUUAGAAUCAUGUAAAACCCUGCCAUCAAUUUUAAUCUAUUAAUUAAUUUACCACAUGUCAUGCAUUUAUUGGUGGGUACUACCAGUUGUCAGUGCUAGGUGGUAAUACUGUAUUGUCAUGCCUCGAUCCCAAGAUAUGCUCGGAAUCGACGCGUGACGGAAGGAUAGUAGCGGUUCAAUAUAGAAUACAUAGAGUCACUGAGACUCAUACAUAUGAUAUACAUUAGAGCUUUAGUGGAAUAACUUACAACAAAGGAUGGCAAUACAUAUUCUCAAGUGCACUGUCCUUACAGCUACACCACCUGAAAUCUUCUCCUCUAACCGCUACCAGUUAUUCUGCAAAAUAACCCUACAUCGUGGGAAUGGCGUACCAGGCAAAGCCAAACCCGGAUAAUCUACGAAGCUCAUGUGAGUGACAAUAAUACCAUUGAUGUGAAUAUAAAUAACAUCAAAUGAUUAAAUGUCAAAGUAGUGCUACGUCCACACAUGACACUUCCUCCUAUAUACCGUAUCAACUGUCAAUGUGAUCACCAUCACUAUUAUUCUGUCAUUCUCUUCGGAUUGUGACUCACCACUCACCUUUCAUCAUUUUCGAAUAAUCAAAAAGGUCUAAUUGUCUCAUAUUUAUUAAUAUAACCACCAUACGCCUCAUUAUUACGUAUAGGAAUGGUUAUUCGAUAUCGAAUCUCACCACACGUCUAUCAAGAUAACAUCUAGUCAUCACAUAACUCGAAGUUGUGUAGGAAUGAGACCACAUUAAUAAUACUAUCACGUGUAGGAAUGAGAUUGGAAUCUUUUUCAUCGUUAAGUCUUUUCACUACGAGUAGGAAUGAGUCACAUCUGGAUCUGAUCUCUUUUAGCCAACACCAUCAUGUAACUAUUUCAUUCAAUUGUCACUUUCUAAAUUGAGCCACACAUGCCUUCAAUCUCAUCUUUCAUGUAUGUAAUAAAAAUUAAUCUAGGGCUAUAGAGAGACACAAUUCGGCCAAACCCUACAAUAAGUAACUGAUCAGGAUGUCGUCCCUCAUUGCGGAUUAACCAAGUAGAACCACUCCUGAGAACACCAUGUAGGUAGUGACCCCUCAUAACGGAUUAAUCAAGCAGAGUCACUCUUAUGGAUACUAAUAAGUAAUGAACACCUAUCGCGGAUUAACCAAGCAGGAUCACCCUGAAUUAUGUAUGUAUGGUCAUACCAAAGUAAUAAGGAUUGCCUAUCGAGAAUUAACCAAGCAUGAUCCCAUAGUAUGGUCUGCCAUUGCGGAUUAACCAAGCAGGACCAUCCAUGUACCACUACUACAUGGUGCAGAUUCCAAUAUAUCCCACAUUACCCCAUGUACUGCGUUAGCGGUCCUCUACUAGCCCUCACAUAUCAUAAUCUUUUCAAGCAUAGCAUAUACAUAUUUUCGAUAGCACCAUCAAGUAAACAUAGCAUAGUAGCACACAUUUCCAAAUAAUCAUUUGGAAAUCCAUGUCAUAUCCACAUAGUGUAUAACAAUGAAUUUCAUGGGUAAUAACCAUAUAACAUAAUAUUAAUAUCACUCACCUGGGUUAUUUGCACUUUCGAAUUCACCAACUCCGCUCCAAGGGACCUAAUACAACACACAAAUCCCACUUAGGAAACUUAAUAAGAUCGUCAUGUAAAAUGAGGCCAAGUGCCACUUGCACGUAAAUCGAGAUGCACGUCAACUGAGAACGACACAUCAUUGUGAUGAGCCAACUAAGCUCCAUCAAGCCUUAACAACAAACUAAAGAUAAACGACACUCUAGAGUAAAACAUGUUGACUAGAGCGUUAACCGUUGAUAAGGUCCACUAAGGUCAACAAUCUAAGGUUAUUCAAUCCGAAAGAUCUACCUCCGAUCCGUAAGUUCUCAAAGUUCCAAAAAUUGAUAAAUAAGGCGCUCACAAAAUUACAUGACGAUCCAACGGUUGGAUUGUUGUCAAUUACUAAAAUUAUACAGCG